UAGCGAUGAAUAAAAUGGACACUAAAUUUUAAUUAUCUCGCAAGGGUUCGAGUUUGGUGCCAUUUUCAUUUCGAUAAUCUAUGUAAUUAAAAGGGGUUCACAGGUUUUGUCGUUAUUUAACAAAUAAGCAGACCGAGGUAAUUAGAACCGAACCGAGUAAAAUGCUUAAUUCAGUUUUGAAUCAGAUUUGAAGUAUGCUGAAAAUAAUAUCAACUAGCUGUUUUUGGGUCCUCAUAACUUUUGAUCUAUAAACAGUUUGAAGGUGGACAUUAUAACAAGGUUGUAGAGCUAUACUAGGGAUACAAAUUUGCUUAGGCAACCUGCCCCUAAAACCAUGUGCAACUGGGUGUAAAUCUGGUCCAAAGAGAGGCUGACAGGUUUGGAUUUCAGACUUGGUGUAAUUGUCCAAGUCAGAAUUUCAGUGUGUUUGGCUCAACUUUGGAGCUUUGUGGUGCCUGAUCCAUGUGGUUUUGGGCUAAGAUUGAUGUAUCAAGUUUGAAGACCACAUGUUGGUGUGUAACUUUGGUUAAAGGUCAUAUCCCUAAAGCUACUUGGAACUUGGAGAAAAGGUGGUCCAAAGUGGAGCUGUCAGACUUGUGAUUUCUGGACUUCGAUUCAGAAAUUGAUGUGCAGUUUCAGCAUUUUUAGCAAACUUCAGAUCUCUGUUGUGAUAAACUUUUGAUGUUAUGGCAUGCACUCUCCACAGAGAAGUCUUAGAGGGUAGUGUGGUGAGUAACUUCUAUUAAGUUUCAUCUCCUUGAGCUUGUUUAGAAAGGGGAGAAAAUGCUGCUCCAAGUCGCUAUGUCAGACAUUGGUGUGCUGAACCAAAUUCAGCUAGGCUGAAUUGUUGAGUUCGCUGGUGCUGCCCCAACUUUGGUGCUCGAUAACUUGAGGUCAGUUGAGCUUUUGAUAGUAACCAUUAAAACAAAGUUGAAGACUGUGUAUCAGUGAGCAAUCUUGGUAUAGGUCCGUUGUAGGUUGAUGCACUGGUGUUGGAGUAAAUUGUGUUCAAACUCUCUCUGUCAGGUGCGAGUUCAGCUUUUGGUUCAGUUAGCUGAAUCUGAAUUUCAGUAUUUUCAUCCCACUUUGAAGCACCAUAACUUUUGAUCCAUGAAUCUUUGACCUAAGGCUGCUGCAGCAAACAUUUAAAUCUAUGUGUUGGGAACAAUCUUUGUUAACUAAGAUUGGCAUGUAUUGCUUGCACUAGUGAGGAUCAAAGGGGUUUAAAGAUGGGGGUUCAUUUGGCGCCAGGUGCAGUUUUGGAAUCUGAAACGUGAUUCAGCUUUUCUGAAUUUUUAGAAGACACAUAUUCCUCUCAGUUUUGGACCCUUCUAAUUAUUAAUUCCUGAACUUUGGUGGAUGAUCAUUACACCAAAUAUAAAGAGUUAUUAUCGGAGAACCAUUCUUAUUAAGCAUUGAUUUCCUGUCAUUACUUAGAACUGGAAGAAAAUCGUCCUUCAAUUCCCUCUGUUUUGCAAGUUGGAAACUGAAACUUGUGUCAGUUUUGGGGGCCAGGGUUCAACAUGCUCGCCUAUGUCUCAGCCAUCCUCAUCCCUUUUAUUUUCUAGAGCAUGUCUAUCUCCAUGGAAUAUCCCCACCGCCUACUCUUCUUCUUAUCCCAAGAGCUACCGUAUUCUUUUUCUCUCAUACGGAUAGAGAUAGCUGGAAGGAGAAUUUCCUCACGUAUCUCUCCCUCUGUGCUGUGCAACCGGCCACGUACUGAAGCUCUUCCUCACGCCACCUCUGCAUCUCAUUCACGUCAUUUAUUUCCCACGUAUUUAGCUCCUGGAAACUUCCUUCACAAGAUGCGUUGAACACCCUGGGAAUCACCCACGCCACCCAUCUCACCACUGCACCACUGCGCGCUUCGUACUGCUGGCCGGGCUGCUCCAGCACCAGGAACGCUCGCUCCUGCUCGUCGACGUUAGAUUUUCCCAGACGCGCGAGCUCCCCAGCAACUCCAACACGUUGCUCGCCUCGCUCAGUCUUCAAGCCAUCGUGCCGCUGGUUCUAGCCAAAGUCGGGCGCGUUCUUUCCUUCGCCAGGCAGCACCUCCAGUCGUCGUUUCUUUUCCACGGCUGCACGCUCACCGACUCAAGCGCUUGGCCAUGGAGCUCGGUUUCGUGUGUGCCUGUGCUGGGUCGCCGGGUCACAUGCUCGUCCGUUUUGAUGUUGUGCACGUUCCGGCUUGUGGAACUCGCCGGCGUUGUCAGCUACUACUAGACCUCACAGUGCAUCGGCGCUCUCGAUAUCGUCCUGAGUUCACUCCGCGUGCUGCGACGUCUCGCUCACCUCAUCGCCAAGUCGUCGUCGCCCUCGCGGUUAUCGGGUCGAUUCGAUCAGGGUAAGCUGAUCUAUUAUUCCCGCUAGUUAAAUCUAGUAAAACUAGAAAAAUCGUGAUUGUUGUGUUUAGUGAGUUAUAGAUGUCUAGUGCUUUCGUAGGAUUGUGUCGAUGUCUUGCCGCUAAAUAUUUGAUUCUCUUUUUUGUA